GUCCAGACUCCUACGGGAGGCAGCAGUGAGGAAUAUUGGUCAAUGGCCGAAGGGCUGAACCAGCCAAGCCGCGUGAAGGAAUAAGGCCCUACGGGUCGUAAACUUCUUUAGUCAGGGAACAAAGGGAGCCACGCGUGGCGCUGUGAGUGUACCUGAAGAAUAAGCAUCGGCUAACUCCGUGCCAGCAGCCGCGGUAAUACGGAGGAUGCGAGCGUUAUCCGGAUUUACUGGGUGUAAAGGGAGCGUAGACGGCAGUGCAAGUCUGGAGUGAAAGGCGGGGGCUCAACCCCCGGACUGCUCUGGAAACUGUACGGCCGGAGUGCAGGAGAGGUAAGUGGAAUUCCUAGUGUAGCGGUGAAAUGCGUAGAUAUCACGCAGAACUCCGAUUGCGAAGGCAGCAUACCGGCGCGCAACUGACGCUCAUGCACGAAAGCGUGGGUAUCGAACAGGAUUAGAUACCCUUGUA
rnacentral:rRNA from 1 species